rfam:Hordeum vulgare subsp. vulgare, WGS project CAJW01000000 data, contig: morex_contig_1586483
AAACUACUCCCUCCGUCCCAAAAUUCUUGUGGUAGGUUUGUCUAAAUAUGAAUAUAUCUAGUCACGUUUUAGUAUUUAUGUACAUCCAUUUCUAAACAAACCUAAGACAAUAAUUUUGAGACGGAGGGAGUAUUAU